rnacentral:rRNA from 1 species
UACGGAGGGUGCAAGCGUUGUUGGGAAUCAUCGGGCGUAAAGCGCGUGUAGGCGGCUUGGUAAGUCGGGUGUGAAAUCCCGGGGCCCAACCCCGGAACUGCAUUCGAAACUGCCUGGCUAGAGUCCCGGAGAGGAAGGCGGAAUUCCCGGUGUAGAGGUGAAAUUCGUAGAUAUCGGGAGGAACACCAGCGGCGAAGGCGGCCUUCUGGACGGUGACUGACGCUGAGACGCGAAAGCGUGGGGAGCAAACAGG